rnacentral:tRNA from 1 species
GGGCCCGUAGCCUAGCUAGGAUAGGGCGCCGGCCUUCGGAGCCGGAGGUCCGGGGUUCAAAUCCCCGCGGGCCCGCCA